GAGGGGAUAGCUCAAUUGGUAGAGCACGUGCUUAGCAUGCAUGAGGUCCUGGGUUCAAUCCCCAGUACCUCCU
rfam:Camelus ferus unplaced genomic scaffold scaffold394, whole genome shotgun sequence.